UAACGUCUCAGUUCGGACUGUGGUCUGCAACCCGACCACACGAAGCUGGAAUCGCUAGUAAUUGCGAAUCAGAAUGUCGCGGUGAAUACGUUCCCGGGUCUUGUACACACCGCCCGUCACACCAUGGGAGUCAGUAACGCCCGAAGUCAGUGACCCAACCGUAACUGGAGGGAGCUGCCGAAGGCGGGACCGAUAACUGGGGUGAAGUCGUAACAAGGUAAC
rnacentral:rRNA from 1 species